rnacentral:lncRNA from 1 species
AAAAUUGUUCUACAACGAAUCAAAGAACAUUACUUACUCUACCUCUGCUCAGUUCCUUGAAUUAGCCAAACACCAAUUAACGAAAUCUAAUGGAACCCAAUGAUUUCAAAUAAAAAUUAAAAGUAAAAACAAAAUGGAAGUGACGAUAAGGAGAAUUCAAUUACAAAGAAACAUCAAAUUUUAGAAAUCUAGGAGAAAAGAAAAGAAAGAGGAAAAAAACUGACAUGAG